UCGUUCCAUGCCUACAUUGGCCCCAUGGAAGGCCUCGCAUGUUGCCUCCGUGUGCUUGUAAGGAGAUGCCUCCGUAUGAGUCACAGUUCGAUGUGUGUGGUCAUAUCAUGGCGAGCCUGAUGGCAUGUGAGUGGUGUUUGGGUUUUAUGGGUUGAUAGGCUCCUCGCUCGUGCGACGAACUGUCACCCCCAACCGCAUUUCAUUGUAAGCCUUGGGCGCUCCGUUGGGGGACCUGGGCACCGUGAAAGUCGGGUUCCUGUGUUGUGUUCCUACUGUGAUGGAAUUGUCCCUUUAAGGUUGCCUUUCCCCCGCCCUGCUUUGCGAUUGCAAUGCGGACGGGACUCUGUAGCGGUCCUCGUGGUCCUCGGUCGCCCCGAACAUGCGAGCAUGGGAGGAGGUGUGCCGUGGCCCAUGACGUCCGCCGGUUCUCUCGGAUGCGGAACGUUAAGCCGAGCGAGUUGGAUCCCCAACGGAAGCUCGAACUAAGCGUUAUUCGCCGUUGCGAACGACAGCGUUCACCGCCUUGCCCUC
rnacentral:misc_RNA from 1 species